GGCUCCGUAGUUCAACUGGAUAGAAUAUCAGAUUUCGGCUCUGAGGGUUGGGGGUUCGAAUCCCUCCGGGGUCA
rnacentral:tRNA from 5 species